GUGUAGUUAUUUGCAGAUCUCAUAUGCCAUUAACUUUCUUGAUGUGUUACUUCGCAUGAAGUUCGUUUAAAUAUUGUACAGUACAAAAGCAUUAUCCGGUCGCUACCAUCCUGUUCAUUCUACUGACACCUGUGUGCAUCCACAUAUUUAUAGCCUUAUACCCAUUCAUUUGAUGCCAACUGUUUUUGUACUGCAUCCUAUUCCUUUUAUAGUCAUGCUAUGGGCAUUUCCAAUCUGGUUGUUCUUAUACCACGUCAUUAGCUCAGCGCUAGCCGCUAGCCGUUUUCUCGUGCCUGCUAUUCUCACACUGCUUUUAUAAUCAUGCUAUGUGCAUUUCCAAUAUGCUUGCUCUUAUACCUCGUCUUUAGCUUAUAGCUAUUUUUUUCCAUGAAUGCUCAUGUCGCACAGCUUGUAUAGUUAUUGCUGCGUGCAUGUCUGGUCUUUGUAUUAUCGUAGACUAACUUGUCAAUGUUAUUUUUCCUAGGGAUUGAUCAUGCGAACCACUUAUUAGAACAUCCAACAUUAACAGCGAGGACGCUAGGGAAGGUUGGAAUCUGAGUUCUUGAUUAAGGACAAUGGAGCAGGAGGAUUAGCAUUUCACUUGAUGGCUGAACCUAAAAUGACAGGCAUGUCGACCACGACUAGUGCACGCAAGAGAAGGACCUGCAGCGAGCUAGUAUGUGCUUAGUACACGCAUCUUAUCUUAUCUUGUCCUUAUUUCUGCUACAUGUUGUUAUCUGAUCUCUACAUUGCAUAAUACAUGUUUGAAUAGUUAAUUGUUGUAACUAUGUUUGCAAUAUUACCAGAAUGCAGUUUUAAUGAAGCGAGUCAUCAUUAGAAGAUAGUCACCAAAGCGACCCUGUGCAACAUUAUGAUGUAAGUCUGUGCUUAGUACAAGUUCCAUACAUUGUCUUAUUUAUGGAACUUGUUAUUAUCUUAUAUCUACAUUGCAUAAUAAAUGUUUGAAUAGUUCACUGUUGUAACUAUGUUUGCAAUAUUACUAGAAUGCACUUGUAAUGAAGAAGUCCUUAGUAGAAGAUAGAGCGCAAAAAAGGUUCCGGGGUGAGCCUAUGCAACGAUAUAAUAAUGCAGUUGUGAUGAAGCAAUCUUCAUCAGAAGAGAGGCCCACAAAAAGUUCUGAUCUUUCUUCUGAUGCAUCCUCUCAUAGCCGUCAACCUAGACCAUUCCUUUCAUCAAGCAGUAAAUAUCUCAAGGCUGUACUUUAUAAAAGACAUGGUAUUGCUGCUUUAAGAUCUGUAGCUGAUAUGUUGACCAAGAGUACACACGAUUCAAUCAAGGCGAUUGCCAAAUGUCAACGUGUUAUUGAUGAUGCUAAUAGAAGUCCUCAAUGAUUCUAUGUAAUUUUUUUAUUUGGGCACAUUAAUUGCCUUGUAAUUUUCCUAGUUAUUUUAUUUGUGUAUGUAAUUGUGUGUAUCAUUGAUACCAGAUUUUAGGCUCAUGAAAUUUAAUGCAA